rnacentral:rRNA from 1 species
UUCGGGUGUGGACACCGGCGAAAGGGCGAGGAGCGGUAUCGAACGUACCCCGAAGUGGAGGAUAGCCAGUGGAAACGCUGAGUAAUACUCCAUGAUCUCUCCGGAGCAAAGCUACGGCGCUUUGGGAGCGGCGAUAUUCCUAUCAGGUUGUUGGUGAGGUAAAGGCUCACCAAGCCGAAGACGGGUAGCGGGUGUGAGAGCACGACCCGCCGCAUCGGAACUGAGACACUGUCCGGACUCCUACGGGAGGCUGCAGCGACGAAUCUUCCGCAAUGCACGAAAGUGUGACGGAGCAAUGCCGCGUGUGGGAUGAAUCGGCUCCGCCGUGUAAACCACUGUCAGGGACUAGUAAUACUGAACAGUCCCAAAGGAAGGGCCGGCUAACCUCGUGCCAGCAGCCGCGGUAAUACGAGGGGCCCGAGCGUUAUUCGGAAUCACUGGGCUUAAAGGGAACGCAGGCUGGCUUGUAAGUAUCUCGUGAAAUCCCUCGGCUCAACCGAGGAACUGCGGGGUAAACUACAAGUCUUGAGAUGGGUAGAGGUCAUCGGAACGAUCGGUGGAGCGGUGAAAUGCGUAGAUAUCGAUCGGAACGCCAAAGGUGAAGACAGGUGACUGGGCCCAUUCUGACGCUCAUGUUCGAAAGCGUGGGGAGCAAACAGGAUUAGAUACCCUGGUAGUCCACGCCCUAAACGAUGUGCACUAGGCCCCGGGACUUUCAACGGUUUCGGGGUCGAAGAGAAAUCGAUAAGUGCACCGCCUGGGGAGUACGGUCGCAAGGCUAAAACUCAAAGGAAUUGACGGGGGCUCACACAAGCGGUGGAGCAUGUUGCUUAAUUCGAAGCAACGCGAAGAACCUUACCUGGGUUUGACA